CUGGGGAGCGGGGGGGCGGGGGUCUUCCUACGCCCUCGUGUACUGGGAUGCGCUCGGGGCUGCUGGGGGUGGAGGUUCGGUGCCUGCC